GAGAGAGAGAGAUUGAAGGAGAAGGAGGCAACAGAGGAAGGCUGCUCAAGAUGGGGGCUAUCCUAUAGAGGAGAAGGCUUUUACUCUGGGCAUUGAAGACCUCUCUUCACAGGGAAGCUGCAGUACAGACAGCAGUGCAAGUACAGUCAAGGUUGCAAAGCAUCUGUUUUGUUCCCUAAAAAAAAAUGCAUACCAAAACGGUUUUGUUUGCUCACCACCAACUUCUUAUGAGAAAAAAUAUUUUUUCAACUUGGAGAAAAAGCAUCUUUUAAUCAACAAGAUCACAUACAAGACACAAUUUCCAAGAUCACAGAGAAGAUGCAAGCAAAAGAUACACUAUAUGGAAAAUGUUUUCACAUUAAAGCCAUUCCUUUGUACCGGCAAUCCCAUAUAAACAAGUAAAUAUUAAUUUACGUAUUAAUACCUCUACAACAGUGGUUUACAUGCAAUAGAUUUAUGUUCUCAGGAGUAUAUUUUUCACUAUCAGGUAGUUGCCACUGUCAGGAACAGGUUAUUGGACUAAAUGAAUCACUACUCUGAUCUGAUAUGGCAAUUUCUAUGUUCCUAAAAAAGUUAAGGAGAGUCCCUGAAGCCUGGCACUAAAAAUUAACUUUUUCCCUAGAGAGAUUUUAAUAUACCUGCUGGAUCAUUUUUCCUGAUUAGUACAUUGGAUUAUUUCAUUGGUUACUUAGUUAGUAGUUUGGUUUUAGACUUAUUAUUUUACAUUUUUCUACCUUACUUUAACCUGAAUUAACCAUCUGCUGACCCAAUUGCCUGGACAGUGGUUCUCAAAGCGGG